CUUUCCCACAUUCCUUUUUGUCUUAUCUGAUGCAUUAAUUAGGUCAUUUAUGAUGCCGUCUUUUCAUUAUUAAAGCUAUUCUUCGGAAUUCCCUCCGACGGUUUCGCUCUUCGUACGCUCCAUCUCCCCUUUUUCCUUUCUCUUUUCUCAAUCUGAGCUUUUCCCUUCUCACGCCUCUUCAUCUUUUUCUUUUCUAUUCUUCUUAGUCCCCUAUUUUUCUUGCCAUGUCUCUGACUCCUCUUCUUUCAUCUUCUUCUCUUGAUUAUACCCUUCUUCGACAAUAUGUCGAGUCGGACCCUUCUCGACUUGUGCUCGGUCCUUCAUU
rnacentral:lncRNA from 1 species